rnacentral:rRNA from 1 species
GAUGAACGCUGGCGGCGUGCCUAAUACAUGCAAGUCGAGCGGAAAGGCCUCUUCGGAGGUACUCGAGCGGCGGACGGCUGAGUAACACGUAGGAACAUACCCCAAAGUGAGGGAUAAGCACCGGAAACGGUGUCUAAUACCGCAUGUGCUCUAAGGAGUAAAGCUUCGGCGCUUUGGGAAUGGCCUGCGCAUGAUUAGCUUGUUGGUGAGGUAAUGGCUCACCAAGGCGACGAUCAUUAGCUGGUCUGAGAGGAUGAUCAGCUAGACGGGGACUGAGACACGGCCCAGACUCCUACGGGAGGCAGCAGUAGGGAAUUUUCCACAAUGGGCGAAAGCCUGAUGGAGCAACGCCGCGUGCAGGAUGAAUGCCUUAGGGUUGUAAACUGCUUUUAUAUGUGACGAAUAUGACGGUAGCAUAUGAAUAAGGAUCGGCUAACUCCGUGCCAGCCGCCGCCGUAA